AAUUUUCAACUACACCCACAGUUUCAAAGGCAAAAAGGAGUGGACCGCAGGCCUUCCC
rnacentral:tRNA from 1 species